rnacentral:rRNA from 1 species
UGCCUGUGAGUUGUGCUGGCCUCUCUCGGGGCAUGUGCACGCUUCAUGGGUCUUCACACAUCCACACCUGUGAACCAAUUGUAGGUCUUUCGGGACCUAUGUCUUCUCAUAACACACUGUAUGUCUAGAAUGUCAUUAUGAUUAUCGUCUGCUUCCUUUGUGGAGUUGGGCUGAUAAGAUAAACAAUAUACAACUUUCAGCAACGGAUCUCUUGGCUCUCGCAUCGAUGAAGAACGCAGCGAAUUGCGAUAUGUAAUGUGAAUUGCAGAUUUUCAGUGAAUCAUCGAAUCUUUGAACGCACCUUGCGCUCCUUGGUAUUCCGAGGAGCAUGCCUGUUUGAGUGUCAUUAAAUUCUCAACCCCAUCGAUUUGUUUCGGUUGUGGGAUUGGAUUGUGGGGGUUUGCUGGUGGACUUCUUGUCCGUCGGCUCCUCUGAAAUGUAUUAGCAAAGGUUGAUGUGCGAACCAGUGUCUCGGUGUGAUAAUGAUCAUCGUGCCUGACGUGCAGUGUCCUGUGCUUACAGUCGUCGUAAGACAACGUUUUGAACCUUUGACCUCAAAUCAGGUAGGAUUACCCGCUGAACUUAAGCAUAUCAAUAAGCGGAGGAANNCAUUAUCNAUUCAACGAANUGCCUGUGAGUUGUGCUGGCCUCUCUGGGGCAGUGCCACCUUCNGGGGACUNCNAAUCCCACCUGUNAACAAUGUANGUCUUUUCGGAACUANNCUNCUCANAACAACUGUNNGNCUAGNANGUCAUANAUUAUNGNCUGCUUCCNUGUGGAGUUGGGCUGAAAANANAACAUAUACNACUUUCAACA